UCAGCAUGGCCUUUAUAUCCUGGGCUACACACACGCUACAAUGGGAAGGGACAAUAGGUUGCGAAGCCGCGAGGCGGAGCCAAUCCAGCAAAACUUCCCUCAGUUCAGAUUGCAGGCUGCAACUCGCCUGCAUGAAGUUGGAGUUGCUAGUAAACGCAGGUCAGCCAUACUGCGUUGAAUACGUUCCCGGGGCUU
rnacentral:rRNA from 1 species